GACGAACGCUGGCGGCGUGCCUAAUACAUGCAAGUAGAACGCUGAAGGAGGAGCUUGCUUCUCUGGAUGAGUUGCGAACGGGUGAGUAACGCGUAGGUAACCUGCCUGGUAGCGGGGGAUAACUAUUGGAAACGAUAGCUAAUACCGCAUAAUAGUAGAUGUUGCAUGACAUUUGCUUAAAAGGUGCAAUUGCAUCACUACCAGAUGGACCUGCGUUGUAUUAGCUAGUUGGUGGGGUAACGGCUCACCAAGGCGACGAUACAUAGCCGACCUGAGAGGGGGAUCGGCCACACUGGGAAUGGGACAAGGCCCAGAAUCCUACGGGAGGCAGCAGUAGGGAAUCUUCGGCAAUGGACGGAAGUCUGACCGAGCAACGCCGCGUGAGUGAAGAAGGUUUUCGGAUCGUAAAGCUCUGUUGUAAGAGAAGAACGAGUGUGAGAGUGGAAAGUUCACACUGUGACGGUAUCUUACCAGAAAGGGACGGCUAACUACGUG
rnacentral:rRNA from 1 species